rnacentral:rRNA from 1 species
UACGUAGGGUGCAAGCGUUAAUCGGAAUUACUGGGCGUAAAGCGUGCGCAGGCGGUUAUGUAAGACAGAUGUGAAAUCCCCGGGCUCAACCUGGGAACUGCAUUUGUGACUGCAUAGCUAGAGUACGGUAGAGGGGGAUGGAAUUCCGCGUGUAGCAGUGAAAUGCGUAGAGAUGUGGAGGAACACCGAUGGCGAAGGCAGCCCCCUGGGCUAACACUGACGCUCAUGCACGAAAGCGUGGGGAGCAAACAGG